GAUUAAUUAGUUUAUGAAAAAUAUUGAUUUGUGGGGUCAAAGAUUUAUUAGUCA
rnacentral:tRNA from 1 species